GUCCACGCCGUAAACGUUGGGCGCUAGGUGUGGGCUCUUUCCACGAGUUCCGUGCCGCAGCAAACGCAUUAAGCGCCCCGCCUGGGGAGUACGGCCGCAAGGCUAAAACUCAAAGGAAUUGACGGGGCCCGCACAAGCGGCGGAGCAUGCGGAUUAAUUCGAUGCAACGCGAAGAACCUUACCAAGGCUUGACAUGGGCAGAAAUCCGGCAGAGAUGUCGGGUCCGUAAGGGCUGCUCACAGGUGGUGCAUGGUUGUCGU
rnacentral:rRNA from 1 species